rnacentral:lncRNA from 1 species
UCCUCUAGACUUAUCAAACAUCUCUUUCAGACCUUCCUUCUCCCUUGUUAGGAUCUCUCUUAGGCUUUUCUUAAAUAUAGAAAGCCUUGUCAUAAAAUUAGAGAGAUGUAAGAAAGAAGCGAUAGGAUUUGGAUUGUUUUUGAAAAGUUUUUGGAAUAAUCUGAAACCCAGUGCCGUGGGCUAUUUAUACAAGAGAUAAGGGUGCAUGGGGAAGAGUCACAUCUCUUCCUCACGCCCCUCUGGUUGGUUGUGUGUUAGAGGAAGAGACCCUUCAAACAAAAGGACUCUUCGAAGUGAUGCGACCCUUCCCCUUUCACCGCAUGUGCACACAAACAAGGGGCGUUUAGGCAUCCUUCCACAUUCAGAUAAUUCUGAGAUUUUGCCACGUUUAUCCUUAUUUAAAUAAGGAUUCAAAUAGCAGAUAUAUCAGACAUAGAACACCACCUUCUGCCCCAUGGCAGAAGAACUCUUCACGCGAUAAGCCGCAUGAUUUCUUUCCUUUCGUGCGCACAGCCUUCAUUCCAAAAAUUCUCCAUGCCAUUUAAAAUCCAAAAAAUCCAUCUCAGCCUUUGAGAUGUAUGCCAGAGAGUGAAGAGUGAUGUGGGCUGCCAUAUAGAUCUUAAACCUAAAGUAAGACUCUCUGUCCUUCCUCAAGCCAAAACGCACACGUCCACAACUACUUGCGUGCCUAGAGUCCAACCAAGCUUGGACUCUUGGUUAUGGCGCCCCACGAGGCUAUGCGGCACCAUCCAAUGGCAGCCACACUCAGAUCCAAAUC